rnacentral:lncRNA from 1 species
AACUCCUCGCAGGGCCAUGGCUUAGAAGGGAAAGGUGAGGAUGUGAAAGGGCUGAGACUGCGGUAUUUCUUGGUGCAGGCUUUGGUCUGGUGAAAACCAUUAUUUGACCACAUCUUCUCACAGUUGUCCCCGAGGCUGGACAGAUGGGGGACUCUGAGAGUCAUCCCCAGGAUCUACGGUUGUGUUAAUGUGGAAGCUGCUGAUAUAUCGUAGGUGGCACUGUACACAUUUACUGCCACCUAAAGGGAUCCCGUAUCAUUUUCCCUUUGCCUCUCAGCAUUUUUACCCUCAGGAUUUGCAAUCCCAAAAUCAAGGACUGUGGAAUUCAUUCCCUUGACAGAGCCUAUGACAGAGCCCUGCUGGCACACAUAUUAUAUGUGUGAUAACGAUGGUGAUGAGGAGGAUGAGGAGGAUGAUGUCGAAUAGAAAUGCACCUUCUUGAAGGGUUCCUCUCCCACAUGAACGCUUAUCUUAUUUGAACCAGAAAUGUGCACACUGAACCCACUCCUGCUGAAGAAGACUGCUGUGACUGAUGCAGAUAUGCUAACAGGCACAGGAAAAGGAUCCAGGUGACUUUCUUGUUAAAGAAGUGCAUGCAUUUUCUAUCCACCGAAACCCACACAAACAGGUGGCACAAGGGCCCCCUUGGCCAGAGACCAAGUCUCCCUGGGCCUCCAACUUCCAUGGAGGCCCCCAAGCUGCCCUUGGUUCCGAUGGUGCAAGGAAGCGUCUACCUGUAAGAGCUCUCUUUUGCCACUUCCCAGGAGUUUUAGACCCUUCUGGCCACCCCUGUGCCUUCUAGAAUCCCAGGCUAAGCGCCCACCUGUCCACCAGGUGCAGGUAACAGUGACAAACUCAGCAUUUGCUGAAGGUCACUGUGAGGCCGUGUGCCUCCAAAGUCCCUCCCUGCUUCCCUCCUGGGUCACACAGGUGCUGUGGCUGUGAAGUCGCAGUUGCGGUAGCAGCGGUGGCAGGAUCACUCUCCUUUGGGCAAUUCUGGUGAACCUGCAAGCCCAGCCUCUAACUCUGAGACCAAGCAGCUGAGAGUCACCUAAAACCUACAGUCAGAGUCAGCUAAAAUUUUACAAACGAUGAAGGCACAGCAUAGUGCUGUUUAUUGGAAAUGCGAUAAUAAAAUAGAUUUAUUUUAUUAUCCACAUUUUAAGCAGUUUAACUUGUUUAUGG